rnacentral:rRNA from 1 species
GAUGAACGCUGGCGGCGUGCCUAAUACAUGCAAGUCGAGCGAACGGACGAGAAGCUUGCUUUUCUGAUGUUAGCGGCGGACGGGUGAGUAACACGUGGAUAACCUACCUAUAAGACUGGGAUAACUUCGGGAAACCGGAGCUAAUACCGGAUAAUAUUUUAAACCGCAUGGUUCAAAAGUGAAAGACGGUCUUGCUGUCACUUAUAGAUGGAUCCGCGCUGCAUUAGCUAGUUGGUAAGGUAACGGCUUACCAAGGCAACGAUGCAUAGCCGACCUGAGAGGGGGGUCGGCCACACUGGAACUGAGACACGGUCCAGACUCCUACGGGAGGCAGCAGUAGGGAAUCUUCCGCAAUGGGCGAAAGCCUGACGGAGCAACGCCGCGUGAGUGAUGAAGGUCUUCGGAUCGUAAAACUCUGUUAUUAGGGAAGAACAUAUGUGUAAGUAACUGUGCACAUCUUGACGGUACCUAAUCAGAAAGCCACGGCUAACUACGUG